rnacentral:rRNA from 1 species
UACGUAGGGUGCGAGCGUUGUCCGGAAUUACUGGGCGUAAAGAGCUCGUAGGUGGUUUGUCGCGUUGUUCGUGAAAACUCACGGCUUAACUGUGAGCGUGCGGGCGAUACGAGCAGACUGGAGUACUGCAGGGGAGACUGGAAUUCCUGGUGUAGCGGUGGAAUGCGCAGAUAUCAGGAGGAACACCGGUGGCGAAGGCGGCGCUCUGGACCGAGACUGACGCUGAGGCGCGAAAGCGUGGGGAGCAAACAGG